rnacentral:tRNA from 1 species
AAGGUCUAACGGUCAGGACACUGGACUUUGAAUCCAGUAACCUGAGUUCAAAUCUCUGU